rnacentral:rRNA from 1 species
GAUGAACGCUGGCGGCGUGCCUAACACAUGCAAGUCGAGCGAACGGACGAGAAGCUCGCUUCUCUGGUGUUAGCGGCGGACGGGUGAGUAACACGUGGAUAACCUACCUAUAAGACUGGGAUAACUUCGGGAAACCGGAGCUAAUACAGGAUGAUAUUUUGAACGGCAUGGUUCAACAGUGAAAGCCGGAUUUGAUGUCACUAAUAGAUGGUUCCGCGCUGCAUUAGCUAGUUGGUAAGGUAACGGCCUACCAAGGCAACGAUGCGUAGCUGACCUGAGAGGGUGAUCAGCCACACUGGAACUGAGACACGGUCCAGACUCCUACGGGAGGCAGCAGUGGGGAAUAUUGGACAAUGGGCGAAAGCCUGACGCAGCAACGCCGCGUGUGUGAAGAAGGUCUUCGGAUCGUAAAGCUCUUUUAUUAGGGAAGAACAUAAGUAUGAUUAUCUGUGGACGUCUUGACGGUACCUAAACAGUAAGCCCCGGCUAACUUCGUG